rnacentral:rRNA from 1 species
AACGAACGCUGGCGGCAUGCCUAACACAUGCAAGUCGAACGAUUGCCUUCGGGUGAUAGUGGCGCACGGGUGCGUAACGCGUGGGAAUCUGCCCUUAGGUUCGGAAUAACAGCUGGAAACGGCUGCUAAUACCGGAUGAUAUCGCGAGAUCAAAGAUUUAUCGCCUGAGGAUGAGCCCGCGUUGGAUUAGGUAGGUGGUGGGGUAAAGGCCUACCAAGCCGACGAUCCAUAGCUGGUCUGAGAGGAUGAUCAGCCACACUGGGACUGAGACACGGCCCAGACUCCUACGGGAGGCAGCAGUGGGGAAUAUUGGACAAUGGGCGCAAGCCUGAUCCAGCAAUGCCGCGUGAGUGAUGAAGGCCCUAGGGUUGUAAAGCUCUUUUACCCGGGAAGAUAAUGACUGUACCGGGAGAAUAAGCCCCGGCUAACUCCGUG